rnacentral:rRNA from 1 species
GACGAACGCUGGCGGCGUGCUUAACACAUGCAAGUCGAACGAGUGGCGAACGGGUGAGUAAUACGUGGGAACCUGCCCAUCAGAGGGGGAUAACACUUGGAAACAGGUGCUAAUACCGCAUACUGAUGGAUGGACCCGCGGUGCAUUAGCUAGUUGGUGAGGUAAUGGCUCACCAAGGCGACGAUCCCUAGCUGGUCUGAGAGGAUGAUCAGCCACACUGGGACUGAGACACGGCCCAGACUCCUACGGGAGGCAGCAGUGGGGAAUAUUGCACAAUGGGCGCAAGCCUGAUGCAGCCAUGCCGCGUGUAUGAAGAAGGCCCUAGGGUUGUAAAGUACUUUCAGUCGGGAGGCGUUACCGACAGAAGAAGCACCGGCUAACUCCGUGCCAGCAGCCGCGGUAAUUC